rnacentral:tRNA from 1 species
GCCCGAGUGGUGGAAUAGGUAGACACAAGGGACUUAAAAUCCCUCGCCCCUAGGGCGUACCGGUUCGAUUCCGGUCUCGGGCACCA